GUGGAAUUCCAAACGGACCUGGUUCAUCACUACAAAAUAGAUAUCCGAGCGCUUGUCGAAGAAAUAACAGGGCGCUGGAGUAUCGUUAAGGAAUUCUGGGACCUAUUCAACAAAACGGAUCUGCUGGCUUUGUUGCAGGAUGACGAGAAGCUUUAUGAGUAUACUGCGGGACAAAGAAGUAAUUUCGAAAACCUCAUAAAGCAGACAUUCCUUGACUUCACAAUAGAAAAUUGUGACGACCUCAAAAAUAAUAUCUCGUCUUACAUCGACGAGUUCGACAACAUUGGUGUCUGCAGCAAUAUUGUGGACAUCUUUACGGACGGAUUUAAUAUUAUCUGCAACGGAAUGAUUGACUUUGU